CCUACGGGGUGCAGCAGUGGGGAAUAUUGGGCAAUGGGCGCAAGCCUGACCCAGCAACGCCGCGUGAAGGAAGAAGGCUUUCGGGUUGUAAACUUCUUUUAAGGGGGAAGAGCAGAAGACGGUACCCCUUGAAUAAGCCACGGCUAACUACGUGCCAGCAGCCGCGGUAAUACGGAGGAUGCGAGCGUUACCCGGAUUUAUUGGGUUUAAAGGGUGCGUAGGCGGAAUGCCAAGUCAGCGGUAAAAUCGCGGGGCUCAACCUCGCUCCGCCGUUGAAACUGGCGUUCUUGAGUGGGCGAGAAGUAUGCGGAAUGCGUGGUGUAGCGGUGAAAUGCAUAGAUAUCACGCAGAACUCCGAUUGCGAAGGCAGCAGACCGGCGCCCAACUGACGCUGAAGCACGAAAGCGUGGGUAUCGAACAGGAUUAGAUACCCUAGUAGUC
rnacentral:rRNA from 1 species